GACGGAGGAUGCAAGGUGUUAUCCGGAAUCACUGGGCGUAAAGCGUCUGUAGGUGGUUCGAAAAGUCCACUGUUAAAAAUUGAGGCUUAACUUCAAAGAUGCCGUGGGAAACUUUCAAACUAGAGUAUGGUAGGGGUAGAGGGAAUUUCCAGUGGAGCGGUGAAAUGCGUAGAUAUUGGAAAGACCACCGAUGGCGAAGGCACUCUACUGGGCCACUACUGACACUGAGAGACGAAAGCUAGGGGAGCAAAUGGG
rnacentral:rRNA from 1 species